rnacentral:rRNA from 1 species
GAUGAACGCUGGCGGCGUGCCUAAUACAUGCAAGUCGAGCGAACGGACGAGACGCUUGCUUGUCUGAUGUUAGCGGCGGACGGGUGAGUAACACGUGGAUAACCUACCUAUAAGACUGGGAUAACUUCGGGAAACCGGAGCUAAUACCGGAUAAUAUUUUGAACCGCAUGGUUCAAAAGUGAAAGACGGUCUUGCUGUCACUUAUAGAUGGAUCCGCGCUGCAUUAGCUAGUUGGUAAGGUAACGGCUUACCAAGGCAACGAUGCAUAGCCGACCUGAGAGGGUGAUCGGCCACACUGGAACUGAGACACGGUCCAGACUCCUACGGGAGGCAGCAGUAGGGAAUCUUCCGCAAUGGGCGAAAGCCUGACGGAGCAACGCCGCGUGAGUGAUGAAGGUCUUCGGAUCGUAAAACUCUGUUAGUAGGGAAGAACAUAUGUGUAAGUAACUGUGCACGUCUUGACGGUACCUAAUCAGAAAGCCACGGCUAACUACGUG